AACGUAGGAGACAAACGUUAUCCGGAGUUACUGGGCGUAAAGGGCGUGUAGGCGGUUUGUUAAGUCUGGCGUGAAAGCUCUCGGCUAAACCGGGAGAGGUCGUUGGAUACUGGCAAACUAGAGGAUGGUAGAGGCGUGUGGAAUUCCGGGUGUAGUGGUGAAAUGCGUAGAGAUCCGGAGGAACACCAGUGGCGAAGGCGACACGCUGGGCCAUACCUGACGCUAAAGCGCGACAGCAUGGGGGAGCAAACGGG
rnacentral:rRNA from 1 species